rnacentral:lncRNA from 1 species
AAAGAACAAAAAACUUGACUAAGUUGGUAUGUUAAAAUAAAAAGGACUCUAUUAAAAAAAAUAACAAAAGAAAAAAACUUACAUAAGUUGUUAUAUUUGCAACGUUCCUCUAUGUGAUUCGCCCAUUGUGAGGAUAGACAUUUUGUCGGGGAAGAAAACGGUUGGUGCAGAUGAAACUACAAGAAGUUAUUGUAGAUGAAAUUGUAGAAGAAGUAUUGUAGAAGAAGUAGUG